AUUUGGUCGUAGACCCGAAACCAGGUGAUCUACCCUUGGUCAGGUUGAAGUUCAGGUAACACUGAAUGGAGGACCGAACCGACUUACGUUGAAAAGUGAGCGGAUGAACUGAGGGUAGCGGAGAAAUUCCAAUCGAACCUGGAGAUAGCUGGUUCUCUCCGAAAUAGCUUUAGGGCUAGCCUCAAGUGAUGAUUAUUGGAGGUAGAGCACUGUUUGGACGAGGGGCCCCUCUCGGGUUACCGAAUUCAGACAAACUCCGAAUGCCAAUUAAUUUAACUUGGGAGUCAGAACAUGGGUGAUAAGGUCCGUGUUCGAAAGGGAAACAGCCCAGACCACCAGCUAAGGUCCCAAAAUAUAUGUUAAGUGGAAAAGGAUGUGGCGUUGCCCAGACAACUAGGAUGUUGGCUUAGAAGCAGCCAUCAUUUAAAGAGUGCGUAAUAGCUCACUAGUCGAGUGACACUGCGCCGAAAAUGUACCGGGGCUAAACAUAUUACCGAAGCUGUGGAUUGUCCUUUGGACAAUGGUAGGAGAGCGUUCUAAGGGCGUUGAAGCAUGAUCGUAAGGACAUGUGGAGCGCUUAGAAGUGAGAAUGCCGGUGUGAGUAGCGAAAGACGGGUGAGAAUCCCGUCCACCGAUUGACUAAGGUUUCCAGAGGAAGGCUCGUCCGCUCUGGGUUAGUCGGGUCCU
rnacentral:rRNA from 1 species